ACGCUCGACACCUACGGGAGGCCGCAGUCGGGAAUAUUGCGCAAUGGAGGAAACUCUGACGCAGUGACGCCGCGUAUAGGAAGAAGGUUUUCGGAUUGUAAACUAUUGUCGUUAGGGAAGAGAAAGGACAGUACCUAAGGAGGAAGCUCCGGCUAACUACGUACCAGCAGCCGCGGUAAUCUGAGCGGGCUGGCAAGGC
rnacentral:rRNA from 1 species